rnacentral:rRNA from 1 species
GACAGAGGAUGCAAGCGUUAUCCGGAAUGAUUGGGCGUAAAGCGUCUGUAGGUGGCUUUUCAAGUCCGCCGUCAAAUCCCAGGGCUCAACCCUGGACAGGCGGUGGAAACUACCAAGCUGGAGUACGGUAGGGGCAGAGGGAAUUUCCGGUGGAGCGGUGAAAUGCAUUGAGAUCGGAAAGAACACCAACGGCGAAGGCAGGUCACUGGGCAGUUACUGACACUGAGGCACGAAGGCCAGGGGAGCAAACGGG